rnacentral:rRNA from 1 species
GGCGACCGGCGCACGGGUGAGUAACACGUAUCCAACCUACCGGUUAUUCCGGGAUAGCCUUUCGAAAGAAAGAUUAAUACCGGAUAGUAUAACGAGAAGGCAUCUUCUUGUUAUUAAAGAAUUUCGAUAACCGAUGGGGAUGCGUUCCAUUAGUUUGUUGGCGGGGUAACGGCCCACCAAGACAUCGAUGGAUAGGGGUUCUGAGAGGAAGGUCCCCCACAUUGGAACUGAGACACGGUCCAAACUCCUACGGGAGGCAGCAGUGAGGAAUAUUGGUCAAUGGACGAGAGUCUGAACCAGCCAAGUAGCGUGAAGGAUGACUGCCCUAUGGGUUGUAAACUUCUUUUAUAUGGGAAUAAAGUGAGCCACGUGUGGCUUUUUGUAUGUACCAUACGAAUAAGGAUCGGCUAACUCCGUGCCAGCAGCCGCGGUAAUACGGAGGAUCCGAGCGUUAUCCGGAUUUAUUGGGUUUAAAGGGAGCGUAGGCGGACUAUUAAGUCAGCUGUGAAAGUUUGCGGCUCAACCGUAAAAUUGCAGUUGAUACUGGUCGUCUUGAGUGCAGUAGAGGUAGGCGGAAUUCGUGGUGUAGCGGUGAAAUGCUUAGAUAUCACGAAGAACUCCGAUUGCGAAGGCAGCUUACUG